CCGAAGGCAGAGGCUUUAACCCACUGAGCCACCCAGGCACCCCUUAUCUGCAAAUCUUGAGACAGGUCUCUGUAAGGCCUUAUGUUUUCAAAUACUAGAAGUGUUGUUGGUUGGGAAUUUGUGUAAAUCAGGGCGCGUGGUUGCAAAGAAUAGAAAGGAUUCUCAAAUCAACUUCAUAGAAGAGAUCUAUUUGUUUGCUCACAUACCUGAAAGUCUGAGAUACAGCUGAUUUGAGGUAUAGUUGGGAACAAGGGUUUAAAUGACGCUAGUGGUUUUCCUCUCCGUUUCUUAUCUCUGUUUAUGUUAACACCUUAUCCUCUUUUUCUUGUAAUAUAGAAAAGUUUCUACCAUGUGACUUGGGAAGAUGACAGUUAAGCAGCCUCAAAUUUAAAUCUUCCCAUGUCUGUGACUCCAAAGAUAAAGAGAAAAUAUACGUUACCUGAACGACUUAACAGGCACGUGGAGGACUCUGAUUGGCCCAUGGUGGACCUUGUGCUCAGCUCUGUUGGUGAAUCACUGUUGCUGGAGACUGGUGAAAAUUUAUUACUGGCUGACCCCAACCUGGGAAUCCACUUCGGGUCACUCUAAUCUGAAAGAAUUAGUCCCGAGGAUCUAAAACUUCAAGCUCUGAAAAAAGCAGCUGGCUGGAGUUUUUAUCACCAAAACCAAACUGCUGGGAGCAUUCUGAUCCCUGGGACUGUUCCUGCCUCACCCUGCUGAUCUUAAAAAGACUGUGAUGGGACCUUAUCAGUGAUUCCGCUAAACUGGUCCAAAUCAUGAAUAUCACAUAUAUACUUCCCCGUUUCUCUUCUUCCUUCAACCUUUACUAUAACCCCACUUCCUUUCUCUGACAUGUCACUGUGGAGUUGGCAGGGGGAUUAAUUGGAAAGUUGACAAAUAUAAUACAAUAAAUAAGGAAUAUUCAAACUUUGAAACAAAUGACCUCUGCUGGCUGAGCAGUUUUUUAUUUAUACAAUGAUGAUGUUAAUACUUAUACAGAAUUUGUGAGCACUGAAAUGAAAUACUUAAAGCAUUUAAAAAUACUAUUGAAGGGGCACCUGGGUGGCUUAGUCAUUAAGCAUCUGCCUUCAGC